GAUGAAGAACGUAGCGAACUGCGAUAAGUAAUGUGAAUUGCAGAAUUCAGUGAAUCAUCGAGUCUUUGAACGCACAUUGCGCCCCCUGGCAUUCCGGGGGGCGUGCCUGUCCGAGCGUCAUUGCUGCCCUUCAAGCCCGGCUUGUGUGUUGGGUCGUCGUCCCCCCCGGGGGACGGGCCCGAAAGGCAGCGGCGGCACCGCGUCCGGUCCUCGAGCGUAUGGGGCUUUGUCACCCGCUCGAUUAGGGCCGGCCGGGCGCCAGCCGGCGUCUCCAACCUUCUAUUUUACCAGGUUGACCUCGGAUCAGGUAGGGAUACCCGCUGAACUUAAGCAUAUCAAUAAGCGGAGGA
rnacentral:misc_RNA from 1 species